CUGAGUAAAGCGGCGGACGGGUGCGUAACACGUAGGUAAUCUACCCUCGAGCGGGGGAUAACGUUCCGAAAGGAAUGCUAAUACCGCAUAAGACCACGACCACUACGGUGGAUGUGGGAAAAGGUGGCCUCUCCAUGGAAGCUAUCACUCGAGGAUGAGCCUGCGUCCCAUCAGCUUGUUGGUGAGGUAACGGCUCACCAAGGCUCAGACGGGUAGCUGGUCUGAGAGGAUGAUCAGCCACACUGGCACUGAAACACGGGCCAGACUCCUACGGGAGGCAGCAGUGGGGAAUAUUGGACAAUGGGCGCAAGCCUGAUCCAGCCACGCCGCGUGAGUGAUGAAGGCCUUCGGGUUGUAAAGCUCUGUGGGGAGGGACGAAAACGGCAGGGAACAAUACCCCUGUCCUUGACGGUACCUCCUUAGCAAGCACCGGCUAACUCUGUGCCAGCAGCCGCGGUAAGACAGAGGGUGCAAACGUUGCUCGGAAUCAC
rnacentral:rRNA from 1 species